rnacentral:lncRNA from 13 species
CAUCAGCUCUAGCCAUGGCAUUUCUAUAUGCAACGUUCGAAAACGUUUAGCAACUGAACUUGGCCCUGGUAUAAUAUUUUAGUAGCCUUUGGCAGAUGCAUGUUUUUGGUGCAUGAAUUAAGCAAGAAGGCCGCCCAGUGGUUAGAGCGUUGGACCAGUAACCGAAAGGUUGCUGGAUCGAAUCCCCGAGCGGACAAAAUAUGUUAACCCACUGUUCCCCGGUAGGCCAUCAUGUGGAGUCUGCUUUACCUGUUGCUCUCCUGGAGCCAUACACAGCCCUGGAGGUACAGAGGACCACCUCUCUGUCUCUGGUUCAUUUGGAAGUUAAGAAACAAAGGUAUUUACACACUCACACUGUCUUUGCCACUUGUCAAGAUUUAACAUUGUACUAUUGUUUUCCCGUGAGUAAGGAGAAGGGAAUUGGGAUGCUGGUGCCCCUGCUAGAAAUGCUCCAGUCUGGUGACCCCACUGUCCAGUGUAACUCCUGUCAAUGUGCUGCCUUACUGGCCUCCUCAGGCCUUGAUGGACAGUGA